CCCUUUGUGAACAUACCUAUAACUGUUGCUUCGGCGGGUAGGGUCUCCGUGACCCUCCCGGCCUCCCGCCCCCGGGCGGGUCGGCGCCCGCCGGAGGAUAACCAAACUCUGAUUUAACGACGUUUCUUCUGAGUGGUACAAGCAAAUAAUCAAAACUUUUAACAACGGAUCUCUUGGUUCUGGCAUCGAUGAAGAACGCAGCGAAAUGCGAUAAGUAAUGUGAAUUGCAGAAUUCAGUGAAUCAUCGAAUCUUUGAACGCACAUUGCGCCCGCCAGCAUUCUGGCGGGCAUGCCUGUUCGAGCGUCAUUUCAACCCUCAAGCUCUGCUUGGUGUUGGGGCCCUACAGCUGAUGUAGGCCCUCAAAGGUAGUGGCGGACCCUCCCGGAGCCUCCUUUGCGUAGUAACUUUACGUCUCGCACUGGGAUCCGGAGGGACUCUUGCCGUAAAACCCCCAAUUUUCCAAAGGUUGACCUCGGAUCAGGUAGGAAUACCCGCUGAACUUAAGCAUAUCAAUAAGCGGAGGAAAAGAAACCAACAGGGAUUGCCUCAGUAACGGCGAGUGAAGCGGCAACAGCUCAAAUUUGAAAUCUGGCCCUAGGCCCGAGUUGUAAUUUGCAGAGGAUGCUUUUGGUGCGGUGCCUUCCAAGUUCCCUAGAACGGGACGCCAGAGAGGGUGAGAGCCCCGUACAGUUGGACACCAAGCCUUUGUAAAGCUCCUUCGACGAGUCGAGUAGUUUGGGAAUGCUGCUCAAAAUGGGAGGUAUAUUUCUUCUAAAGCUAAAUACCGGCCAGAGACCGAUAGCGCACAAGUAGAGUGAUCGAAAGAUGAAAAGCACUUUGAAAAGAGGGUUAAACAGCACGUGAAAUUGUUAAAAGGGAAGCGCUUGUGACCAGACUUGCGUCCGGUGAAUCACCCAGCUCUCGCGGCUGGGGCACUUCGCCGGCUCAGGCCAGCAUCAGCUCGCUGUCGGGGACAAAAGCUUCAGGAACGUAGCUCUCUUCGGGGAGUGUUAUAGCCUGUUGCAUAAUACCCUUCGGCGGGCUGAGGUACGC
rnacentral:rRNA from 1 species